rnacentral:rRNA from 1 species
CCACACAACCAUCACUCCAACCCACCCGCCAGCCACACACACACAUCGAAGGCGCGGACGCGCAUCUCCACUACUUCCUCGCGUCCGGCGACCGCCGUUAACCGGCCACCGAAGUGCGCCGCCGAGCACGCACGCGAGCGCAGCCUCAGCGGGAUCCGGCUGGGAGAGCAGUGGCGUGCCCAAUUUGAACACUGACGAGCAGCGCCGCGCCGUCGCGGACCCAGGCCUCCAUGCCGGGCGACGAGUAGUGCCUCGACCCCGCCGAAGGCGAUGAGCUGCUGACGCAGGCGGGAUCUGUCUGCGAGUUGAAAUGGCCGCCGCGCGCCCAGGCCAAGCUACUGCUGCUGCGGGCGGGAUGCAGCUACGAAUUGAAGUCGCCGCGCAUGGCUGCUGCUGCUUCUUCGCAGAUUCGGCUGGAUCUGGCUGCUGCCGCUGCCGCUAUUGAUUUGGUGAUUCUGCAGGUACUGUACUAAUGGAUUCAACCCGAUUUGGUGCUCUGUAGUUUCUGAGCAUGUGCAGUACAAGUGCAUGGUUCCAAUUUAAGUGCCCAGAACAUGCUAGCCCCCCUUUUGGAAUUCAUCUACAAGUUUUCAGAAAA